GGAGCUAAUCCCUUAAAGCUACUCUCAGUUCGGAUUGUAGGCUGAAACUCGCCUACAUGAAGCUGGAGUUACUAGUAAUCGCAGAUCAGAAUGCUGCGGUGAAUGCGUUCCCGGGUCUUGUACCCACCGCCCGUCACACCACGGGAGUUGGAGACGCCCGAAGCCGAUUAUCUAACCUCUUGGAAUAAGUCGUCGAAGGUGGAAUCAAUACCUGGGGUGAAG
rnacentral:rRNA from 1 species